rnacentral:rRNA from 1 species
AGUGAACGCUGGCGGUAGGCCUAACACAUGCAAGUCGAACGGCAGCACAGUAAGAGCUUGCUCUUACGGGUGGCGAGUGGCGGACGAGUGAGGAAUACAUCGGAAUCUACUUUUUCGUGGGGGAUAACGUAGGGAAACUUACGCUAAUACCGCAUACGACCUACGGGUGAAAGCAGGGGAUCUUCGGACCUUGCGCGAUUGAAUGAGCCGAUGUCGGAUUAGCUAGUUGGCGGGGUAAAGGCCCACCAAGGCGACGAUCCGUAGCUGGUCUGAGAGGAUGAUCAGCCACACUGGAACUGAGACACGGUCCAGACUCCUACGGGAGGCAGCAGUGGGGAAUAUUGGACAAUGGGCGAAAGCCUGAUCCAGCCAUACCGCGUGGGUGAAGAAGGCCUUCGGGUUGUAAAGCCCUUUUGUUGGGAAAGAAAAGCAGCAGGUUAAUACCCCACUGUUCUGACGGUACCCAAAGAAUAAGCACCGGCUAACUUCGUG